AUCUCAUGAUGAGGGCAGUUGCGGAGCAAUUCCUUGUAGCAGCUCCAAGCUUUAGAAAGGGUCUCGUCACUCACCAUCUUAAAACUUAAAAUUUCAUUUCUCUGAU